GACGAACGCUGGCGGCGUGCUUAACACAUGCAAGUCGAACGGAAAGGCCCUGCUUUUGUGGGGUGCUCGAGUGGCGAACGGGUGAGUAACCCGUGAGUAACCUGCCCUUGACUUUGGGAUAACUUCAGGAAACUGGGGCUAAUCCCGGAUAGGAGCUCCUGCUGCAUGGUGGGGGUUGGAAAGUUUCGGCGGUUGGGGAUGGACUCGCGGCUUAUCAGCUUGUUGGUGGGGUAGUGGCUUACCAAGGCCUUGACGGGUAGCCGGCCUGAGAGGGUGACCGGCCACAUUGGGACUGGGAUACGGCCCAGACUCCUACGGGAGGCAGCAGUGGGGAAUAUUGCACAAUGGGCGGAAGCCUGAUGCAGCAACGCAGCGUGCGGGAUGACGGCCUUCGGGUUGUAAACCGCUUUCGCCUGUGACGAAGCGUGAGUGACGGUAAUGGGUAAAGAAGCACCGGCUAACUACGUG
rnacentral:rRNA from 1 species